AUAUUUCGUAUUACAAUGAUAUUGGUGAAAAGUAAUUAAAUUUUUCGUAUUGAUUUUUUUUCAACAAAAACGACACAUUUGACUUAUGACGGCGAAAUUGAUUUAUAUUUUUCACAAAUAACGACACAAUUCAAGAUGGGCCACGUUUAUGUCCAAGAAAAAGCAUUAGUACACUCUAUUUGGUCCAUUUAUGCUCAACAUUUUCUUUAAUAUACAGUUGAUCUCCUUUUUGCACGGUUAACUGGGACAGUAAAUUACUCGUGUAAAAAAAAA